UACGAAGGGGGCUAGCGUUGUUCGGAAUUACUGGGCGUAAAGGGCUCGUAGGCGGCCAACUAAGUCAGACGUGAAAUCCCUCGGCUUAACCGGGGAACUGCGUCUGAUACUGGAUGGCUUGAGGUUGGGAGAGGGAUGCGGAAUUCCAGGUGUAGCGGUGAAAUGCGUAGAUAUCUGGAGGAAUACCGGUGGCGAAGGCGGCAUCCUGGACCGGCAUUGACGCUGAGUGAGCGAAAGCCAGGGGAGCAAACGGG
rnacentral:rRNA from 1 species